CCUACGGGAGGCAGCAGUAAGGAAUAUUGGACAAUGCUCGCAAGAGUGAUCCAGCCAUGCCGCGUGCAGGAAGAAUGCCCUAUGGGUAGUAAACUGCUUUUGAACUAGAGAAAACCCCAGUACGUGUACUGGGCUGAUAGUAUAGUUAGAAUAAGCAUCGGCUAACUUCGUGCCAGCAGCCGCGGUAAGACGAAGGAUGCAAGCGUUAUCCGGAUUCAUUGGGUUUAAAGGGAGCGUAGGUGGACUGAUAAGUCAGUGGUGAAAUCUCCGAGCUUAACUCGGAAAUUGCCAUUGAUACUGUUGGUCUUGAGUACAGUUGCUGUGGGCGGAAUAUGACAUGUAGUGGUGAAAUACAUAGAGAUGUCAUAGAACACCGAUUGCGAAGGCAGCUCACAAAGCUGUAACUGACACUGAGGCUCGAAAGUGCGGGGAUCAAACAGGAUUAGAUACCCUGGUAGUCCGCACCGUAAACGAUGAUUACUCGCUGCUAGGGGGCAACCUUUAGUGGCUUAGCGAAAGCGAAUAAGUAAUUCACCUGGGGAGGUUAGCGGCGACGGAGACGACGAANAGAGUUAGAGGCGNGAGAGNGCGACGGACGACGACGAGGAGUAGG
rnacentral:rRNA from 1 species